UACGUAGGGUGCGAGCGUUGUCCGGAAUUAUUGGGCGUAAAGGGCUCGUAGGCGGUUUGUCACGUCGGGAGUGAAAACUCGGGGCUUAACCCCGAGCCUGCUUCCGAUACGGGCAGACUAGAGGUAUGCAGGGGAGAACGGAAUUCCUGGUGUAGCGGUGAAAUGCGCAGAUAUCAGGAGGAACACCGGUGGCGAAGGCGGUUCUCUGGGCAUUACCUGACGCUGAGGAGCGAAAGCUGGGGGAGCAAACGGG
rnacentral:rRNA from 1 species